rnacentral:rRNA from 1 species
AUUGAACGCUGGCGGCAUGCCUUACACAUGCAAGUCGAACGGUAACAGGUCUUCGGAUGCUGACGAGUGGCGAACGGGUGAGUAAUACAUCGGAACGUGCCCGAUCGUGGGGGAUAACGAGGCGAAAGCUUUUCUAAUACCGCAUACGAUCUACGGAUGAAAGCGGGGGAUCUUCGGUCCUCGCGCGGACGGAGCGGCCGAUGGCAGAUUAGGUGGUUGGUGGGAUAAAAGCUUACCAAGCCGACGAUCUGUAGCUGGUCUGAGAGGAUGAUCAGCCACACUGGGACUGAGACACGGCCCAGACUCCUACGGGAGGCAGCAGUGGGGAAUUUUGGACAAUGGGCGAAAGCCUGAUCCAGCCAUGCCGCGUGCAGGAUGAAGGCCUUCGGGUUGUAAACUGCUUUUGUACGGAACGAAAAGCCUCUUUCUAAUAAAGAGGGGUCAUGACGGUACCGUAAGAAUAAGCACCGGCUAACUACGUG